rnacentral:tRNA from 1 species
GCCCCGGUAGUGUAGCUCGGCCCAGGGAAGAACUAUCAUGAAGCCCUGUCGAGGCUUCGACCCGGGUUCGAAUCCCGGCCGGGGCG